rnacentral:lncRNA from 1 species
UGGGUUAGGCUCUCCCGUUUGAUUUAUAACAUUGGUGCUUUCAUUGAGAGUCCACACGUUGGGCCGUGACUCGAAGUGAUGGCCUGAACCGAAGAGGGGUGCCAGUCAUGACCAACUGGGCGUAGCCGUGACCAAUGAGGAUCGAUCCACGUGUGGGGAGCCGCGCAUUGGGCCGUGACUCGUAGUGGUGGCCUGGACCCAAGAGGGUAUCAGUCGUGACCAACUAGGCAUAGCCAUGACCAACGAGGAUCGAUCCACGCAUGGAGCCACGACUCGAAGUAGUGGCCUGGACCUAAAAGGGUUGCCAUCCAUGACCAACACGGCUCAGCCAUGACCAACGAGGUCGUUGGUUUUCAAAGGCGAUUGUUAUGAAACAAUUGUCUCACAUUGAAAAAAUAGAGAAAUGCCAAGGGAAUUAUAAGUCAAAUGGGUUCUCC